rnacentral:rRNA from 1 species
UACGUAGGGUGCGAGCGUUAAUCGGAAUUACUGGGCGUAAAGCGCGCGCAGGCGGUUUUGUAAGUCAGGUGUGAAAUCCCCGGGCUUAACCUGGGAAUGGCAUUUGGGACUGCAAGGCUGGAGUUUGGCAGAGGAGACUGGAAUUCCUGGUGUAGCAGUGAAAUGCGUAGAUAUCAGGAGGAAUACCGAUGGCGAAGGCAGGUCUCUGGGCUAUAACUGACGCUCAUGCACGAAAGCGUGGGGAGCAAACAGG